rnacentral:misc_RNA from 1 species
GAUGAAGAACGUAGCGAAAUGCGAUAAGUAAUGUGAAUUGCAGAAUUCAGUGAAUCAUCGAAUCUUUGAACGCACAUUGCGCCCGCCAGUAUUCUGGCGGGCAUGCCUGUUCGAGCGUCAUUUCAACCAUCAAGCCCCCGGCUUGUGUUGGGGACCUGCGGCUGCCGCAGGCCCUGAAAACCAGUGGCGGGCUCGCUAGUCACUCCGAGCGUAGUAAUACAUCUCGCUCAGGGCGUGCUGCGGGUUCCGGCCGUUAAAAAGCCUUAUUUACCAAAGGUUGACCUCGGAUCAGGUAGGAAGACCCGCUGAACUUAAGCAUAUCAAUAAGCGGAGGA